CAGGACGGGGACAACAGCUGGAAACGGCUGCUAAUACCCGAUAUGCCGAAAGGUGAAACGUUGUUUCGCCUGGAGAGGAGCUCGCGUCCGAUUAGCUAGUUGGUGGGGUAAAAGCUUACCAAGGCGACGAUCGGUAGCUGGUCUGAGAGGAUGAGCAGCCACACUGGAACUGAGACACGGUCCAGACUCCUACGGGAGGCAGCAGUGGGGAAUUUUCCGCAAUGGGCGAAAGCCUGACGGAGCAACGCCGCGUGGGGGAAGAAGGUUUUUGGAUUGUAAACCCCUUUUCUCAAGGAAGAACAAAAUGACGGUACUUGAGGAAUCAGCCUCGGCUAACUCCGUGCCAGCAGCCGCGGUAAUACGGAGGAGGCAAGCGUUAUCCGGAAUUAUUGGGCGUAAAGCGUUCGUAGGCGGCUGUUCAAGUCUGCUGUCAAAGACCGAGGCUCAACCUCGGGUCGGCAGUGGAAACUGGAUAGCUAGAGGUCGGUAGGGGCAGAGGGAAUUCCCAGUGUAGCGGUGAAAUGCGUAGAUAUUGGGAAGAACACCGGUGGCGAAAGCGCUCUGCUGGGCCGAACCUGACGCUGAGGGACGAAAGCUAGGGGAGCGAAUGGG
rnacentral:rRNA from 1 species